rnacentral:lncRNA from 1 species
UGUUGUGUCUUCUUCUCCUUCUUCUGAGUGUGGUUGUUAUGCAGAGUCAAGUUCAGAGAGUGAAGAACUGAGUGAGAUUAUGAGAAUCGAUUUUGGUGCUUUGUGAUUUUGCUAUGAAAUUUGGUGUGUUUGAUGUGUUGUAGAGUUGAGAGAGCUUAUGUUGCAGAUUGCAAAAUGAAAUUCUCAGGCUGCAGAGUGGAGAAGAUCAAUUGCAGGAUAAAGAAAAUUAGUUGCAGAAUGAAGAAAUGUGAUGCAGAAUGACAAAUGGCAAUGCAGGUACUCUUAUA